GAUGAACGCUAGCGAUGGGCUUAACACAUGCAAGUCGAGGGGCAGCACAAGGUAGCUUGCUAUCUGGGUGGCGACCGGCGCACGGGUGCGUAACGCGUAUGCAACUUGCCCUAUACAGGAGGAUAACCCGUCGAAAGACGGACUAAUACUGCGUAUGCUCACAACUUGGCAUCAAGUGGUGAGGAAAGAAAUUCGGUAUAGGAUAGGCAUGCGUCCCAUUAGCUUGUUGGUGAGGUAACGGCUCACCAAGGCAACGAUGGGUAGGGGAACUGAGAGGUUUAUCCCCCACACUGGUACUGAGACACGGACCAGACUCCUACGGGAGGCAGCAGUGAGGAAUAUUGGUCAAUGGGCGCGAGCCUGAACCAGCCAAGUCGCGUGAAGGAUGACUGUCUUAUGGAUUGUAAACUUCUUUUAUACGGGAAUAACAAGAGUCACGUGUGACUCCCUGCAUGUACCGUAUGAAUAAGCAUCGGCUAACUCCGUG
rnacentral:rRNA from 1 species